UUCCGGUUGAUCCUGCCGGACCCGACUGCUAUCAGAGUGAGAUUAAGCCAUGCGAGUUAACGUAGCAAUACGUGGCGCACGGCUCAGUAACACGUAGUCAACAUGCCCAGAGGACGUGGAUAACCUCGGGAAACUGAGUCUAAACCGCGAUAAGUGAGGAUUUCUGGAAUGGUUCCUGACUAAAAUCUAUAUGGCCUCUGGAUUGGACUGCGGCCGAUCAGGCUGUUGGUGAGGUAAUGGCCCACCAAACCUGUAACCGGUACGGGCUCUGAGAGGAGGAGCCCGGAGAUGGGCACUGAGACAAGGGCCCAGGCCCUAUGGGGCGCAGCAGGCGCGAAACCUCUGCAAUAGGCGAAAGCCUGACAGGGUUACUCUGAGUGACUUUCGCUAAGAAAGUCUUUUGGCACCUCUAAAAAGGGUGCAGAAUAAGGGGUGGGCAAGUCUGGUGUCAGCCGCCGCGGUAAUACCAGCACCCCGAGUGGUCGGGACGAUUAUUGAGCCUAAAGCAUCCGUAGCCGGUUCUGCAAGUCCCCCGUUAAAUCCAGCUGCUCAACAGAUGGGCCGCGGAGGAUACUACAGAGCUAGGAGGCAGGAGAGGCAAGCGGUACUCAGUGGGUAGGGGUAAAAUCCGUUGAUCCAUUGAAGACCACCAGUGGCGAAGGCGGCUUGCCAGAAUGCGCUCGACGGUGAGGGAUGAAAGCUGGGGGAGCAAACCGGAUUAGAUACCCGGGUAGUCCCAG
rnacentral:rRNA from 1 species